rnacentral:rRNA from 1 species
UACGUAGGGUCCGAGCGUUGUCCGGAAUUACUGGGCGUAAAGAGCUCGUAGGUGGUUUGUCGCGUUGUUCGUGAAAACUCACAGCUCAACUGUGGGCGUGCGGGCGAUACGGGCAGACUAGAGUACUGCAGGGGAGACUGGAAUUCCUGGUGUAGCGGUGAAAUGCGCAGAUAUCAGGAGGAACACCGGUGGCGAAGGCGGGUCUCUGGGCCGAUACUGACGCUGAGGAGCGAAAGCGUGGGGGAGCGAACAGG